UACAGAGGUCUCGAGCGUUAGGCGGAAUCACUGGGCUUAAAGCGUGUGUAGGCGGAUCGGUAAGUACCUUGUGAAAUCCCACAGCUUAACUGUGGAACUGCUUGGUAUACUGCCAGUCUUGAGCCAGCUAGGGGCUACCGGAACAAAUGGUGGAGCGGUGAAAUGCGUAGAGAUGUGGAGGAACACCGAUGGCGAAGGCAGCCCCCUGGGCUAACACUGACGCUCAUGCACGAAAGCGUGGGAGCAAACAGGAUAGAA
rnacentral:rRNA from 1 species